CCAACCCAUUACAACAACCUUACAAUAUUCAUCAUCAAACAUGAAUCCCACUCUCUCUCUCUCUAGCCCCGAAUCUCCCCACUUCUCUUUCUCUCUCCCCUCCACACAUUUCCUCUCUCCUCUUCGAACCCCAUUCUCUCUUUCAAGCCCUCAUGCACUCCGAUUCCUCUCUCUCUCUCUCUCUCUCUACCUUUCUUUUUCCCCUUUCUCUCUCAUCCUCUCACACAGUUACAAGGAUAAAUGUUGUAUGGGGUACCUUUAUCUUCUUGCUCAAACACAACAUGGAUUCCAAAAAUUGAUUUGAAGAUGAAACCUGGAUUUGGAACUAGAGACUAGAACUACCUGUGCGCAAUCGAAGAAAUUUGUCUUUUUCUAUACUGGAACAAUCUGGUGCUCCAAGAAACUCGUUGACCCAGUCAUGGUCUUCUUCUUCGAGAGCUGCUCAAAUCUAGCCACAGUCGUCGUCAGAGUUGAAGACAACCAGACGGCCAAGAAUGAAUUGCCGCCAUCACCGAUGUUACAGCGCAUUCAACCCACGCGGCGCCGUCAUGAACCACCUCGAUCUGCGGUAGUGGCGGUGACCACGCUUCAAAACUCUCUCCUCAGAUUCUUAUCCCCCACUCUCUACACUCUGCUUCUUUCAUGCCAUCCGACGACACAGUGAUUCCGGUGAAUGAUAUCGUCGGACUCCUCUGGGCCGAGAUCUGAUACGUGUGUGGUGGAGGACUGUCCUUAGCAUUCUGUUGUUGAUUUCGGUGCGCGUUCUAUUGUUGAUUUCGGCGCUAUGUUGUGACAGGGACGAAGGUGAAGGCUUGGUGGUGGUUGUGGGUAUUGUCAAUUUGGUGGUGGAGCUGUGAUAAUGCGGCGGCGACGUGGAGGUAGAGUUGCCGCCCGGGAUUUUUAUAUAUACAGACAGAGGAAGUUGUGGGUGGUGGGUUAAAGAUGGUGGCGGCGCAUGUACAAAUAGUGCGUAUAUACAUAGGGCAUUUUUGUCAUUUAAAAUUAUACAUAUUUUGUAUUAAAAAAAUUGAGAUAAAAGGAUCAAUUUGCAUUCGUCAGAAGCCAAACACUAACUUGGGGUGCAAGUGAUCUAACACAGAAGGUGUCGGGGUAAUUUAUCCAAAAAAAAAAUAUGGGUGCCCAAAUGUUAAAAGUAAGGACAAAUUUUAUCACGCUGUCAAUUAGUUUUUUUUCUUCAAUUUUAUUUUCAAUUUCAAAGUUCUUUUUUAGCAGUAGGACUGUAGGAUUGUUAUGGAUUGUUUUAAUAAAAGGGCCAUGAAAUGUCAUACUUGUAUGAGUAAAAUAUAAUAUAAUUACGGCGAUUUUUAUAUUUUGACCA